rnacentral:rRNA from 1 species
CAAUAGCGUAUAUUAAAGUUGUUGCAGUUAAAAAGCUCGUAGUUGGACCUUGGACCUGGACAGGCGGUCCGCCUCACGGCGUGUACUGUCUUGCUGGGUCUUUCCUCUUGGCGAUCUGUUGUUUCGGCAGCAGGGAACCAGGACUUUUACUUUGAAAAAAUUAGAGUGUUCAAAGCAGGCUCGACGCCGGAAUAUAUUAGCAUGGAAUAAUAAAAUAGGACGUGCGGUUCUAUUUUGUUGGUUUUUGGAAUCGCCGUAAUGAUUAAUAGGGACAGUCGGGGGCAUUAGUACUCACAUGCUAGAGGUGAAAUUCUUGGAUUUUGUGAAGACUAACUUCUGCGAAAGCAUUUGCCAAGGAUGUUUUCAUUAA